rnacentral:rRNA from 1 species
GUGGGGAAUAUUGGACAAUGGGCGAAAGCCUGAUCCAGCCAUGCCGCGUGUGUGAAGAAGGUCUUCGGAUUGUAAAGCACUUUAAGUUGGGAGGAAGGGCAGUAAGUUAAUACCUUGCUGUUUUGACGUUACCGACAGAAUAAGCACCGGCUAACUUCGUGCCAGCAGCCGCGGUAAUACGAAGGGUGCAAGCGUUAAUCGGAAUUACUGGGCGUAAAGCGCGCGUAGGUGGUUUUGUAAGUUGGAGGUGAAAUCCCCGGGCUCAACCUAGGAACUGCCUCCAAAAAUGCAUGACUAGAGUACGGUAGAGGGUAGUGGAAUUUCCUGUGUAGCGGUGAAAUGCGUAGAUAUAGGAAGGAACACCAGUGGCGAAGGCGACUACCUGGACUGAUACUGACACUGAGGUGCGAAAGCGUGGGGAGCAAACAGGAUUAGAAACCCGAGUAGUCC